UGGGGAAUUUUGGACAAUGGGCGAAAGCCUGAUCCAGCAAUGCCGCGUGUGUGAAGAAGGCCUUCGGGUUGUAAAGCACUUUUGUCCGGAAAGAAAUCCUUGGCUCUAAUACAGUCGGGGGAUGACGGUACCGGAAGAAUAAGCACCGGCUAACUACGUGCCAGCAGCCGCGGUAAUACGUAGGGUGCAAGCGUUAAUCGGAAUUACUGGGCGUAAAGCGUGCGCAGGCGGUUUGCUAAGACCGAUGUGAAAUCCCCGGGCUCAACCUGGGAACUGCAUUGGUGACUGGCAGGCUAGAGUAUGGCAGAGGGGGGUAGAAUUCCACGUGUAGCAGUGAAGUGCGUAGAGAUGUGGAGGAAUACCGAUGGCGAAGGCAGCCCCCUGGGCCAAUACUGACGCUCAUGCACGAAAGCGUGGGGAGCAAACAGGAUUAGAUACCCUGGUAGUCCACGCCCUAAAACGAUGUCAACUAGUUGUUGGGGGAUUCAUUUCCUUAGUAACGUAGCUAACGCGUGAAGUUGACCGCCUGGGGAGUACGGUCGCAAGAUUAAAACUUCAAAUGAAUUGACGGGGUCAUAGCUGUUUCCU
rnacentral:rRNA from 1 species